ACUCCAACCCUUCUUUUCAUAUUUUUACUCCUCAUUUGAUCAGAAACCCAAACCCUAGCAGAGCCCCAAUCCCAUCGAAACUAAAACCUAGCCGAGCUUCUUCCCCAAAUUCAUGGAGGUUCCACCGGCGUCAGCACCGUCUCGCCGCCGAUUUGAGUUUGCACGACCACCCCUCACCUUAUUCUAGAAGGAAAUUCACUUCAAUCCUUCGUUUGCAUUCGUGUUCCAUCAUCGCAGUUCACGUCGGUUCACCGCCACUGUAUGCUUGCCGUCGUCGCUGCCGCGCCUUUAGUCGGAUCCUCCGCGUCGCGUGCUCGCGUUUGGUCUCUCUCCUCUGUCACUCUCUUGCUUGGCGUCGAGUUCGCCGUCGACGAGGAAGCUUUGCCACCGUUUCUCCAGUGCUUCGCAUACGGAGAUACUAAAUAAGAGCAAAUUGUUUGCUAUUGAUACUGGAAACAGGGGCUACCCUCCGAAUAAGAAUUUCACUUACAAUGACAAUGUAUAUUUCUUCUUCAAGUUGAGGGCUUAUCAAGAGUAUGCUGCGGAAAAAUCCAGAGCUUAGGUAAGCAUCUGCUACAUAUACUAUCAUCUACUCUUAGACAUCCAAACCUCAUUGAGCACACUAGUGAGAAAGCCAAGGAAGCUAAAGAUAUACAAGUGAGAAA